GGGUUGUGAGGUUAAGCGACUAAGCGUACACGGUGGAUGCCCUGGCAGUCAGAGGCGAUGAAGGACGUGCUAAUCUGCGAUAAGCGUCGGUAAGGUGAUAUGAACCGUUAUAACCGGCGAUUUCCGAAUGGGGAAACCCAGUGUGUUUCGACACACUAUCAUUAACUGAAUCCAUAGGUUAAUGAGGCGAACCGGGGGAACUGAAACAUCUAAGUACCCCGAGGAAAAGAAAUCAACCGAGAUUCCCCCAGUAGCGGCGAGCGAACGGGGAGCAGCCCAGAGCCUGAAUCAGUAUGUGUGUUAGUGGAAGCGUCUGGAAAGGCGCGCGAUACAGGGUGACAGCCCCGUACACAAAAAUGCACAUAUUGUGAGCUCGAUGAGUAGGGCGGGACACGUGGUAUCCUGUCUGAAUAUGGGGGGACCAUCCUCCAAGGCUAAAUACUCCUGACUGACCGAUAGUGAACCAGUACCGUGAGGGAAAGGCGAAAAGAACCCCGGCGAGGGGAGUGAAAAAGAACCUGAAACCGUGUACGUACAAGCAGUGGGAGCACGCUU
rnacentral:rRNA from 1 species